AGUGAACGCUGGCGGUAGGCCUAACACAUGCAAGUCGAACGGCAGCACAGUAAGAGCUUGCUCUUACGGGUGGCGAGUGGCGGACGGGUGAGGAAUACAUCGGAAUCUACUUUUUCGUGGGGGAUAACGUAGGGAAACUUACGCUAAUACCGCAUACGACCUACGGGUGAAAGCAGGGGAUCUUCGGACCUUGCGCGAUUGAAUGAGCCGAUGUCGGAUUAGCUAGUUGGCGGGGUAAAGGCCCACCAAGGCGACGAUCCGUAGCUGGUCUGAGAGGAUGAUCAGCCACACUGGAACUGAGACACGGUCCAGACUCCUACGGGAGGCAGCAGUGGGGAAUAUUGGACAAUGGGCGCAGGCCUGAUCCAGCCAUACCGCGUGGGUGAAGAAGGCCUUCGGGUUGUAAAGCCCUUUUGUUGGGAAAGAAAAGCAGCAGGUUAAUACCCCGCUGUUCUGACGGUACCCAAAGAAUAAGCACCAGCUAACUUCGUG
rnacentral:rRNA from 1 species